GAUGAACGCUAGCGGCAGGCUUAACACAUGCAAGUCGAGGGGUAUAGUUCUUCGGAGCUAGAGACCGGCGCGCGGGUGCGUAACGCGUAUGCAGUCUGCCUUCCACAGAGGGAUAGCCCAGAGAAAUUUGGAUUAAUACCUCAUAGCAUCAUGUUCCGGCAUCGGAAUAUGAUUAAAGUCACAACGGUGGAAGAUGAGCAUGCGUCCCAUUAGCUAGUUGGUAAGGUAACGGCUUACCAAGGCGACGAUGGGUAGGGGUCCUGAGAGGGAGAUCCCCCACACUGGUACUGAGAAACGGACCAGACUCCUACGGGAGGCAGCAGUGAGGAAUAUUGGUCAAUGGGCGCAAGCCUGAACCAGCCAUGCCGCGUGCAGGAUGACGGUCCUAUGGAUUGUAAACUGCUUUUGUACGGGAAGAAACACUCCCUCGUGAGGGAGCUUGACGGUACCGUAAGAAUAAGGAUCGGCUAACUCCGUGCCAGCCGCCGCCGUAA
rnacentral:rRNA from 1 species